GACAGAGGCCUCAAGCGUUAGGCGGAAUCACUGGGCUUAAAGCGUGUGUAGGCGGAUCGUUAAGUGUCUUGUGAAAUCCCACGGCUCACCCGUGGAACUGCUGGGCAUACUGGCGAUCUUGGGCCAACUAGGGCAACUGGAACAAGCGGUGGAGCGGUGAAAUGCGUAGAUAUCGCUUGGAACGCCAAAGGUGAAAACAGGUUGCUGGGUUGUGCCGACGCUGGAGAACACGAAAGCCAGGGGAGCAAACGGG
rnacentral:rRNA from 1 species